AUGUUUGAUAUUUUAGAAAGUAUUGAGUAGUACAGCAGGUUAAUUGUUAUUUAUUUAUUGUUACUCAGUCAUUGAAUAUACACGAAACUAAGCUAUUUAACAGUAUUUGUGGUAAAAAUAAGAUAUUAUGAAUACCGGUUUUGGAAAAAUAGUAUGGUGGGGAUUUUCACCUGCUCUGAAUUUUUUAAAUGAAAGUUAUAUAUCAGAUAGAAGUGAAAGAAUGAAAAUGUCUGAUGAAAAGAUGGAGUCACUGCAUAUUUUAGUAGUUGGAGCUGCUGACUCAAGGCAUCUGUUGAAAACAAUUGCUAAAUCUUAUGAACAUACGAAUCUUCCCUUUGAAAUGUAUGUUGUGGAGAACAGCAUCGAGUCUUAUGCCCGACAACUGAUGUUACUUGGAAUAGCCUUUGAACAAGCAAAAAGUCUACAAGAAAAGACUGAAUUGCUUUUGGAAGUAUUUGGAAACACUCUUAUCAGACAAUCAACUUUAAACUACAUACAGAACAAGUCUUCUGAAUUAAUCAGAAUGGUAACAGAUUUUGAAGAGCUUAAACAGAAGAUGCCCUUCAUAAAUCUUGAGGCACUAAAGUACAAGGAACGAGAUAGCUUAGAAUCUGUGUUCAAGUUUUGGCGAAAUCCAGAUAGUACUUUGUUUGAUAUAUCAAAAUAUUGGGACUUGAGAUUACGUCACCUUUUAGGUCCUCGUUUUGACUCAAGAGAUGGUGUGUUUGACUGGGAUUAUAACAUGAAAAUACUGAAUAAAGGUGCAUCAAUAAUCAGUUCAUCGGAGUAUAAGUACUGGAGAAAAACAGGUAUAGCCUUCCAUUUGAGAGAAGGAGAUUACAAUGGGCCUAACAAAACUCUAACUUCGGAGCAUGAAAAUCAGCAGUACAUAAGAAGGGGAUACUGGGGUGAUGUCGUUUCUAGUCCAUACCUUGCCUUUGGCAUUGAGUGUGAAGAUAAAGAAUACCUAAAGAAAUCCAACAACAUUCACUGCAAGACUGCACAGGAUGUAUCAGCAAGGAACGUAACAGCUAUGAUGUAUGAGCUAAAAUAUUCCAGACCAUAUAAGAACUGCACUGAAAACAUUUUUGGAGAAAGAGAGGAAAAUCAUAAGGGUGAUCUUAACAUGUUCCAAAUAUCAUUUCUUCCUGUCAACUUUAUUUCUGAUCUGAAUAAGAAAGCAUGCUAUCAAAAGUUGUUUGAUAUAGUUUACUUUUCUAACAGUAUGGUUCACCACUUCGUUCCAGAAUUCUCAACUCUCUUGAAGCGAAAUGCUGUUGUUUUAGUAGAAACAGCCAAGUUUAUAUUGGACCUGACAUCUGAACAGGAGGCAGAGUACAUAAAGAAAGUUACAAAUAUGGCUGAAGCUGCAGGGUGUGAAUACCUGGAUUGUAUGGCAGUUAGAUGGUCAGCAGCAAUUGAGAAUGAAGCAACUGAAGUAGGAAAAGAAGGAACUGGAGGUAUUCUUUAACUCAACUCUAGACAACUUGGGAGAAGUCAGGAGUUGAGCUGCUACUCAUCUCCUUCAACAUUUUACCCUUGUUCUCUUAAGAGGGAGAUGAUUCAGAAAGCAGGAGAAGCCAUGUUGUUGUUGUGGGAGCUAGAGGUCCAUUCACUUCGAUGAACUUGAUGGUUGUCGGAUGUCAAGAACCAAACGAAGACAGUUUCAUGAAAUUUAUAUUUCGUGGAAACAAAACACAAGACAAC
rnacentral:misc_RNA from 1 species